GACGAACGCUGGCGGCGUGCUUAACACAUGCAAGUCGAACGGAAAGGCCUUUUCGGCGGUACUCGAGUGGCGAACGGGUUAGUAAUACGUGGGUGAUCUGCCCUCCACUCUGGGAUUUUCCUGGGCCCUUGGUUCUCAUCCCGGUUAUGACCGCCCUUUCUUUUGUGUUGUGGCAAGUUUUUUCGGUGUAGGAUGAGCCCGCGGCCUAUCAGCUUGUUGGUGGGGUAAUGGCCUACCAAGGCGGCGACGGGUAGCCGGACUGAGAGGUUGGUCGGCCACAUUGGGACUGAGAGACGGCCCAGAUACCGACGGGGGGCAGAAGUGGGGAAGAGUGAACAAUGGGCGUAAGCAGGAUGCAGCGAGGCCGCGGGGGGGAUGACGGGCUUCGGGUUGUAAUCGCGUUUCGCCAGGGACGAAGCGUUUUGUGACGGUACCUGGAGAAGAAGCACCGGCUAACUACGUG
rnacentral:rRNA from 1 species